AACGAACGUUGGCGGCGUGGAUUAGGCAUGCAAGUCGGGGGAAUCCCAGCAAUGGGGGAACCGGCGUAAGGGGCAGUAAUGUGUGGGUACCUACCUUCGGGUUCGGGAUAGCCAUCAGAGAUGGUGGGUAAUACUGGAUGACGUCGUGAGACCAAAGAUUUAUCGCCCGAAGAGGGGCCCACAUGAUAUUAGCUAGUUGGUGAGGUAACGGCUCACCAAGGCGAAGAUGUCUAGCGGGUGUGAGAGCACGACCCGCGCCACUCGCACUGAGACACUGGCGAGACACCUACGGGUGGCUGCAGUCGAGGAUCUUCGGCAAUGAGCGCAAGCUUGACCGAGCGACGCCGCGUGAGCGAUGAAGGCCUUCGGGUUGUAAAGCUCUUUAGUGGGGGAGAAAAGCCCGCAAGGGUGUGAUCUAUCCCAAAAAUAAGCACGGGCUAAGUUCGUGCCAGCCGCCGCAGUAAGAC
rnacentral:rRNA from 1 species